rnacentral:rRNA from 1 species
AUGAACGCUAGCUGGAGGCUUAAUACAUGCAAGUCGAGCGGGAUUGGUAGCAAUACCAUGAGCGGCGCACGGGUGAGUAACGCGUACACGACCUACCUCUGACAGGGGGAUAGCCCUGGGAAACUGGGAUUAAUACCGCAUAUUAUUCUGAUUAAUAAAGGAUUGGAAUGAAAGUUCAGGCGGUCAGAGAUGGGUGUGCGUCUGAUUAGCUAGUUGGUAGGGUAACGGCCUACCAAGGCGAUGAUCAGUAGGGGGCGUGAGAGCGUGAUCCCCCACACGGGUACUGAGACACGGACCCGACUCCUACGGGAGGCAGCAGUAAGGAAUAUUGGACAAUGGCCGCAAGGCUGAUCCAGCCAUCCAGCGUGCAGGAAGAAGGCCCUAUGGGUUGUAAACUGCUUUUAUCAGGGAAUAAACCUCUGGAUUCACUCCGGAGCUGAAGGUACCUGAAGAAUAAGCACCGGCUAACUCCGUGCCAGCAGCCGCGGUAAUACGGAGGAUCCAAGCGUUAUCCGGAAUCAUUGGGUUUAAAGGGUCCGUAGGCGGAUUUGUAAGUCAGUGGUGAAAUCUCCCCGCUCAACGGGGAAACGGCCAUUGAUACUGCAAGUCUUGAAUCAUUAGGAAGUAACUAGAAUAUGUAGUGUAGCGGUGAAAUGCUUAGAGAUUACAUGGAAUACCAAUUGCGAAGGCAGGUUACUACUAAUGGAUUGACGCUGAUGGACGAAAGCGUGGGUAGCGAACAGGAUUAGAUACCCUGGUAGUCCACGCCGUAAACGAUGGAUACUAGCUGUUGGGGGCAACUUCAGUGGCUAAGCGAAAGUGAUAAGUAUCCCACCUGGGGAGUACGUUCGCAAGAAUGAAACUCAAAGGAAUUGACGGGGGCCCGCACAAGCGGUGGAGCAUGUGGUU